rnacentral:misc_RNA from 1 species
UGACCUGAUGGUGGACUUGGAGUUGGGUGUUGCCGGUCACACGGCUCGCCUGAAAGACCUUAGUGGGAACAUUGGCCUACGGCAGGACGUGAUAAGUUUCGUCUUGUCUGGCCGGUGAUGUCCGCUCAGAACCUGCUGCCCUUUGAGGCAACGAUCUUAUGCUAGACCUCAAAUCAGGUAGGACUACCCGCUGAACUUAA